UCUGUUUUCUUCGUUUUCUUGUUGAUCUAAUGAUCUGUUUGUUGAACUGUUUCUUUUUGGCCUCCAAUACCUCCAUCAGCCUCUAUGGACAUUAGAAGUUCUAAUGUCCAUAUCAGCCUCCAUCCUCCAUCCAUGAGUCUUGUUGACUUCUUUGUCUUCCUUUUUAUUUGGAUUGUUCGAUUGUUGCCAUUCAAAUUGAUUAAGGACUCCUUAUUGACAUUAGUCAAAUCAAGUCUUUACUACAAUGGUGAUUAAAAUUUCCAAUUGUCUUUCAACAAUCGCAAAAAUCUGUUUAUAUUGUUGUAAGGACUUGAUUUGACUAUGUCAAUAAGAAUUAAGUCCUUAACGGUGAACAUUCAAGCGCAUUUAAGAAUUCUUCUUUCAAACACCGUGCUCAAAUCAAAUUCUUUUACUUUAAAUUCAAACAUUUUAAGUGCUCUCUUCUUCUCAAGUCCUUUUCGUCUCCUCCUCGCAAUGCAGUGCUACAGCGAAGCCAUGUUUUUAGUGCCAGAGGAAUAUUUUUCAAAAAAAUUCAUGAAGAGCUUCGACAGCAGCAACGCGUUCAGGAGCGAGCUGUUAGACCCGAGCACCACCAUCAACCACCUUGCGUUGCUGGCCGUCGUCAACAGCAAGACUGAGCAAGAGGAGGGCAAUGAAGACCCCGUUGACGAGCAGUUGGGAUUUAAUUUUGACUGCCAAAAUUGAGCUGAGCAGGUCAAGGAGGAAUGUAAAAAGGCCGCUGCGGAGUACCAGCAAGCAAGGCUCGAGUGUGACGAUCAAGCAAGAAAACUCCAUGAACUGCCGAAGUUCAAUGCUACCAUAAAAGUGGCAAAUGAAGAACUGAAGGAUGAACUGGUUGAAAAACUGGAGCGCGCCAAGACAUCUAGUUGCUUGUGUCACGUUGCCAAAUUAGAAGAACCAAUCCAAUGUAAGAAAAGGACAAUUGGAACUGAAGCUCCAACACGACCAGCGAAAGUUCCGAAAGUGGAGACAACCUGCUGCUUGGGCCCUGAUCCUAACCCAGAAUGCAAGACUGAAGAAGCUAAGAAGAAGCGCAAUUUCUUUUUUUUAAGCAAAUACAAUUCAAAUAAAUUAGAGCCCAAAAUUUGAAAUCAUAAAUAUUUAUUGAGUAUAAAUUGAAACAUAAAUUUAUCUUGACGAGCAAAGCAACUUUGGUCUUAAACAGAGCUAGAGUCGCAAGCGACAGAGUCGGUACUUGGCUCUGUAGAGCAGUAUCGUGAAGUUGAAGCUGCCACUGACUGUAAUAGUAUUUUUGCCGGAAUAAUUUUGUUCUUUUGGUAUUUUUUUAGUUCAGGCAUUCAUAAUAACAUAACAGAAAGUGAUUGUUGGGAAAUAUCAAUUAAAGUUUUACAAUCUUUGAAUAUACAUUUUGUUCAAACUGCCUUGUCCAACUUGUCCGGUGAGUCUCUCCCACUUGAGGGCCAUUUUGGCUAACUUGCAGCCUCAAAUAUUGUUUUCGGAUGAACAGCACCUCUGACGGGACUGGCCUGGACAGCGGUGACGACUCAAGGAGCCAAGUCGGAGCCACAACACCUUAUUGGGGACACCAGCCGAGCUCAGCCUGAAAAACCGAUAAAGGUAAAUUUUUCAGAUCUCUCUUGGUCAGCCAGUCGCAGUUGUCCGAGGGCUGGCACACAUCUCUUCCAAGGACUAUAUAGGCUCUGCAGCGUCUAAACCUCAUCCAGCAGGCGUCCUCAACCGACGUCCACCGUCCAGCGACUCGGCACUCUCAGACUCUCAGCUAGCUGCUUCUGCAAUCAUAGGGACAAGUCUGCUCCGUCCAUCCAGACCUUCUUGUGAAUUUCCCAGUCAUUUAGGAACAUUGAAAUAAAUUUCCCGGACCAAAAUUAGAGCUGCAAGUGCGUGGCGGUGGCCGUUUGCUGCUCGUCGGCGGCCGUGUGGUGCUGUGGCAAGCCCUACUGGCUGUCGAUGGAGGGCUCAGGGUGACCGAGUUGCCGGCCUGCGCCAGGUGGCCCUGCAGCGGGCGCAGAUCCAGUUGCCACGGGCUGUGUACGCAAGCCAGCCGUUAGAUGCUUUCGUAAGAGCCUUAUUAGGUAUGCAUGUUUUAUGUGAAAUUUAUUAUUUUAAAAAUAGUUCAAUAUAUUUAGCAGCUGAAUAGACCUAAACUCUGCUAUAUCAAUUAAAGAAAAUUUUGGAACCUCACGAAUUAAUUUCUUUCUAACAAGUUAUUAUUGCGGGCAGACAAACUGUCAUUAGAUUUUGAAAACAAACAAUAAAAUUUGUGAGAAAUGAUAAAAGUUGCCAUAAAAAAGUAUAUAGCUCAUACUCAUACUUAUUUGUUCUAUCAAAAAUAAAAAAUUAACGAUCUCUGACAU